rnacentral:lncRNA from 1 species
AGCGUGCCCGGUCGCUUGGCUUUUUCAUGUCACCCCCGAGGUGGCCCCAUUCUGGGUGGGGGAGUUACUCUUGGGUUUGGGUCUCCCUGCCCCUGAACAUAGCUGUUGCACAAGUAGCUGCUCACACUGAACUCUACAGAGCCAUCAGUCAACCUUGAGGGAUUGUUAUCUGACCAAAGACUUUCUAUCUGUCCAUUAUUUAUUGCUGCAAACAUACCGGAAAGCAAGGAAGCCAUAAAAAGCAAACAGUAGGGUCAUGUCAAAAGGAAAGAAGCAUGUUUCCUGCCUUUUCUAAAUAAACUGUACCAUUGGUGUUAAAUAUCUGGUUUCUAAAAAAUGUUAUUUUAAUAUAUAGAGAUAGGAUCUUGCUAUGUUGGCCAGGCUAGUCUCAGAUUCCUGGCCUCAAGCAGUCCUCCUGCCUUGGCCUCCCAAAAUGCUGGGAUUACAGGCAUGAGUCAGUGUGCCCAACCAGUCAUUUCAAUAAAUGUGCUGGAUCAAUUGUAUAUUCAUGUGAAAAAUUACCUCACAUCAUAACAACAACAACAACAAAAAUCCAGAUGGAUUUUUAAAUCCAUCUAAAUGUGAAAGGUAAAGCAAUAAAGCUUUUGAAGAAAACAUAGGAGACCACCUUCAUGACCUCAGAGUAGGCAAAGAUUUCUUAAACACGACACAAAAAGGCUCACUAUAAAAGAAAAAAAUUGAUAAAUUAGACUAAAGGGCCACUGUAUUAGAUACCUUGAGUGAUUGCAAAACCUGGUUCUUGUCCUUAUGAAGUUCAUAAUAAAGCCGAUUGUUUUCUUUUUCUUUUUCUGGAGCGACCCAAGGCACAGGAUACAAACCUGUCCAUGCCACAAUUAUUGCAUCUACUAGGACGCACUGAUUAAAAUUCUGUUUUCCCCUGAGAAGACAUUUAUUUCUCAAUAAAUUCAGGAAACCAUUUGACAACAUCCAGUACUCUUUAAUGAUAAGAACACUCAACACGCUGGAAAGAGAAGGGAACUUCCUCAACCUCAUAAAGGAUAUUUAUAUAAAAGCCACAGCAAAUGUCAUACUUAAUGGUGACUGACUGCUUUUGCUCUAAGACUAGGAACAAGAGAAGGAUGUCUACUUUCACUGCUUCUAUUCAACAUUGUACUGAAGGUUCUAACUAGAGGAAUCAGGGAAGAAAAAAAAUCAUAAGUCAUCUAGAUAAAAGGAAGAAGUAAACCCAUUUGUAUUUGCAGAUGACAUGACGUUUUACUUUGUAAAUGUGGUUACUACAAAAUUUAAAAUUACGUCUGUAAUUUAGCUGCAUUGGUAGCUUGUAUUAUAUUUCCUUUGGUUAUUGUGUGCUCCACUCUUACCUCAUACUAGGAAGUUAGGACUUAGGUUAUAGCCCCAGCGUCUGACAGCUGAUAAGAAGUGGAAUCAAGGUUCAAGCUGAGUCCAGAGCCCACACACUGAACUGCUGGACAUGCAGGACAGCAUGGCAGUACUUUGGACAUGCCCAUUGCUUCUGCCACUGGUUUUCACUGAAGAAACCUCCCCCAGUGGCCUCUAGGCUCUGAGAACUUUGAACCUCAUGCAGCAGCUGUUGCAACCUUAGGCAUGGGAAAUGACAUCCUUAGAUGCCCUUCCUGAUGGGCAGCUGGUGAGUCUUCUUCCAGCUAUUUUAGUGAGGUGGGUAGCAGUGCAUGGGGUUGCUGAGGCACGCACCCUCGGAACAUAUUGGUGUCUCUCCCUAAUGGGGCAGCCUACUCUGUACAUGUCAGAAAAGGUGCCUGUGAAGCUGGCAAUGUGAGCUUAUAUGAUCCUGGCCAUGUUGGCCACAGGUAGGAUUAGCCAUUGGCAAAAAGCCAGGUUGGCCAAGUUUAUUUCUGGUGCCUUCUCACUUCCACACCCUUUUGUCAUUGCCUCCUGUGCAGUCUUCAGGGUCCUGGAAUUUCUAUUUAUCUUCUACACAUCUAUGGGGAUUUUCUAACACAUCCAGGACACAUCCCGGCCUCUGUGUCCAUGCCAGGUUCCUCCAUGCCAUCCGGGGCCCCGGCCGCUGUAGGAAGCCAUUGCCUGUGUGGGAAUGGUGACGGCCAAGGGCAUGGGGGCAGGGCACUGAUGGUGCUGCUACAACUGCAUAAUACAAAGGAUGCUGUCACUACCAGUGACAGUUCACAGUUUGAGAUCCUCACAACUUAGAAACAACAGAAAAAGAACUUCUAUAAUGGUUCCAUCUCCAAAAUAUUAUAUGAAUUUCUUUCUUUUUUUUUUUUUGAGACAGAGUCUCACUCUGUUGCCCAGGCUGGAGUACAGAGGCGUAAUCUUGGCUCACUGCAACUUCCACCUCCUGGGUUCAAGUGAUUCUCAUGACUCAGCCUCCCAAGUAACUGGGGCUACAGGCAUGGGCCACCAUGCACGGCUAUUUUUUUUUUUUUUUUUUUUUGUAUUUUUUGGUAGAGACAGGGUUUUGUCAUGUUGGCCAGGCUGGUCUCAAACUCCUGGCCUCAGGUGAUCCACCCGCCUUGGCCUCCCAAAGUGCUGGGAUUAUAGGCAUGAGCCACCACAACCAGCCAAAAUAUAUGAGUUUCAUAUAUAUAUAUAUAUAUAUAUAUAUAUAUAUAUAUAUAUAUAUAAUACUAACAUCCUUCUGCUAGCUAGGGGUGGUGCUCAAAGGGUAGGAUGCUGUUAAAACAUCAGUAGAUCUGAGACCUCGGCUCUCCAUCCUGAAGCCCCCUGAAGAAACUGCAAUAAGCCUGUUUGACCCCACCACUUGCUCAUUGUGGUUAUGGUGGACCUUGCUUUUUCCUGUCCUGUGCAUCACCUUAGACAAUUGGGAAAUUACUUUUAAUUCAGAGAUGGCCUCAGUUAUGGAUUUACAGCAUUGCAACUAUGUAACAUUGUAACAUUGUGACUAAGUAAUUUUAACAAUGUAGCUACAGCAUUGCCCUGCUUUACCGCGGAGACAGCGCCACCUAAUGGUUAAACAAGUGCCCAGCCGUUCCUU